GGCAGAUCUGCUGAGAAGACACAGGUUUCAGAGGAGGAACCUGCUUGCUGUGAUAACUCAGGAAUGGAGGCCUCUGGGAUGCAUCUGGGAGUCUCAGAGACAGCUGCUCCACCCUGGGCAGAAGGGGAAGCAGGGUGUUCUAUGGAAGCUGCCAGUGGAGAAUGGAUGGAUGGUGAGCCAGGAUUGCUAUCACAGAGAGCUGAUGCCAACAGACACAUGGGGCAGGAACCCAACCAAAGGAAGCAAAGGAAGGAGAAAUGGGGUACUUUGCCCUCAAGGGGAGCCUGGCAUCUGUGCCUGUUCCCACAGAAGGAAUCAAGAUUCUCUACUUGUCACAGGUUCUUUACAUUUGAUAAGCACCUACUAUGUGUAAGCAAGACAUCAUGCUAGACGCUGUGUGCAGUCUUGGUCUACAAGGAUAAUACGAGAGCUGCCACCAGCCGCUGCCUCCCUGCCCAAGCACUCAUACACACAACACCCCCAGAGAGAAGGAAGGGGGUGUCUGAAAAUGCCAGACUGCUAUAGCUUCCCUUGUUUCUUUUUCUGGAAAAGUAUGCAGACUCUCUCUGCACUCACUCCCACCAGCUCUCUCCUUUUCCACACCCGUUCAAAUUUUUUUACUCUCCAUCUCACUUUUGCUGUUUUCCUCCUAGACCCUGUGGCUGCUUCCUUCCUCAUCUACACCUCCCUGUCUGCCCUUCAACCUGCCUGACUGAUCUUUCUCAUUUCUUUUCCUUGUUUCCUUCCUUGGGUUCUCACUCUCAGACUCCCCAAAGGCCAGGCUGC
rnacentral:lncRNA from 1 species